ACUGGGUGUGGUGGUGCGCACCUGUAAUCCCAGAAACUUGGGAGUCUAGGGCAGGAGGAUUGCAAAUUUGAGGCCAGCCUCAGCAAUUUUAGCAAGGAUAUAUAAAUAACUUUUUGACACCCUGCUCAAA
rnacentral:sRNA from 1 species